AUAUUUUCUGAGAAAUUCCU
rnacentral:snRNA from 1 species